UACGAAGGGUGCAAGCGUUACUCGGAAUUACUGGGCGUAAAGCGUGAGUAGGUGGUUUCUUAAGUCUGCUGUGAAAGCCCCGGGCUCAACCUGGGAAUUGCAGUGGAUACUGGGGAGCUAGAGUGCGGUAGAGGGUAGUGGAAUUCCCGGUGUAGCGGUGAAAUGCGUAGAGAUCGGGAAGAACACCAGUGGCGAAGGCGGCUACCUGGACCAGCACUGACACUGAGGAACGAAAGCCAGGGGAGCAAACGGG
rnacentral:rRNA from 1 species